rnacentral:rRNA from 1 species
UACGUAGGGUGCAAGCGUUGUCCGGAAUUAUUGGGCGUAAAGAGCGUGUAGGCGGCCCGACAAGUCCGCUGUGAAAGUCCAGGGCUCAACCCUGGAAUGCCGGUGGAUACUGUCGGGCUAGAGUCCGGAAGGGGCGAGUGGAAUUCCUGGUGUAGCGGUGAAAUGCGCAGAUAUCAGGAGGAACACCAAUGGCGAAGGCAGCUCGCUGGGACGUGACUGACGCUGAGGAGCGAAAGCGUGGGGAGCGAACAGG